AUAAAAUAGAGAUCUCACGUUUCUUCUCUCUCAGUCUAUAUAUUUUUUUUGGUAUCUUUUGUUUUCUCUUUUUAAUGACUAAAUAAAUAUUUUUCUAAAACAAUAAUUUCUUUUAUUAUCUGAAAUUCUCAUGCAACCUUCUAUAAAAUAAAAUAGAGAUCUCACAUUUUUUAUGUCUCCUUCUAUAAGAAAAAUGUCCGCUUUCCUUCUCUCUCCUCCUCCUCUCUCUCUCUCUCUCUCUCUCUCUCUCUCUCUCUAAUGUUUCCUUCUUUCUCUAAUUUUUUCUAAAAUAUCUUUUAUUUAAUUUGGAAAUUCAGUUACUCCCUCAGUCCCUUUGGACCCUAACCUUUUCUUUCUCUUAGAAUAGUGUGAAGAGAAAACAGCUCAUCUCUCCAACUCUUCAUCACUCUCCCUUCUUUAAUGGCAGCGUCGCCAGUAGGUAACUAAAUUACUAACCCUCUCUCUUUUAGAUUAUUUUUCUCCUCUUUUUCUUAGACUGCCGAUCAAUCCUCAAUUUCACUGCUUCCACCCUUUCUCUUCUCUUUUCCUUCUCUUUGAGGGAAACACAAGUAAAAGAAGAAGAGGAAUUUAACAGGAUUGCAAGGAACCCUAACUCCUAUAAAUAGUUACAUCUCUCUCUAGCAAUGGAUUCCUGCAAUUUUCCUCCAAGAAGGAAAUCAUUCCACUUUAACUCUCCUCAAAGAGGGAAAUCAGGUCGUUCUUGCUCCAUGGUGCUAUUGAAGGUCGAUGUGGAACUCACCAUUGUUGGGGAGAAGCUGUUUUGUUUUGAGAAUUUCUCUCAGAAUUCAUGUCAGAAUGCACUAGAAUUUCUAUCUCUAAACCUUAAGUCAACUCUUUUUUUUUUUUUAAGUUCUUAAGGAUAAUCCUUAUGUUUAAAAUGUGUUUCAUUUGGCUGAAGUGUUCAUUAAUCCUUAUGAAAAGUGCCAUCUGGCUGAAGUGUGUUGAUCAAACUGAAGGAAAAUUUAUGUACUGAAGUGUAGGUUUGUCGGAACUCUUUACUUAGAGGUGGAUGCUAAUUUUGUA